rnacentral:rRNA from 1 species
ACUCCUACGGGAGGCAGCAGUAGGGAAUCUUCCACAAUGGGUGCAAACCUGAUGGAGCAAUGCCGCGUGAGUGAAGAAGGUCUUCGGAUCGUAAAGCUCUGUUGUUAGAGAAGAACACGUGCUAGGUAACUACUAGCGCCUUGACGGUAUCUAACCAGAAAGUCACGGCUAACUACGUGCCAGCAGCCGCGGUAAUACGUAGGUGACAAGCGUUGUCCGGAUUUAUUGGGCGUAAAGGGAGCGCAGGCGGUCUGUUUAGUCUAAUGUGAAAGCCCACGGCUUAACCGUGGAACGGCAUUGGAAACUGACAGACUUGAAUGUAGAAGAGGAAAAUGGAAUUCCAAGUGUAGCGGUGGAAUGCGUAGAUAUUUGGAGGAACACCAGUGGCGAAGGCGAUUUUCUGGUCUAACAUUGACGCUGAGGCUCGAAAGCGUGGGGAGCGAACAGGAUUAGAUACCCCGGUAGUCCC